UUAAACUUGAGUCCAAAAUUAUGCCUUGCUGUUUUUAUGUGAAAUUUAUUUUAAAGGACUUACUUCACCAAAAUUAAAUUUCCAAGAUUUGUCAUUCAUAAUUAGCUAUCAAAGCAUUUCCACAUGGAAAAGGCUUUUGGAAUCAAGUUUAAAUUGUCUCAUCUUUUGCAUUUAUUUCAUCAGAAAAACAAGAACUUGUGGGAAAUAAAAUUACACUUCAAUUUCAGAAAUAGUUUUCUCGAAAUCAGAAAAAAGUAUAUGCCUCAAAUAUCUAAAUACAGUUUCUAACAUCAAAGGUUAGUAAGUUAUCGAUACAAUUUUCAAAGUGUCAUGAUCAUCUUCAGGACACCACUUUCCCUGAUGAGAUACUUCCCGAGGCUUGGAGAAACUAAGCCAUUGGCCAAGAGAACAUAGCUAGUAAAUGACAAAGCAGGAUUGUAACUCAGGUAUGAUUCUCUAUUUGAAUACUUUUUUUUCCUUUAUCAAAUAAAAUCUCUUUUUUAUCAUACAAACAGCUAUAUGUGAGGAUAGUAGGAAUGCUCUAUUCAGAGGAACAUAGGAUUUUUCCCCCAUAAUUGAUGUCUUACCUUUUGAAUUAGGAUACACUCUUGCAAUUCAAUUUGUAUCCAGAAACUUUUCUUACUCUGAGUAGGAUAUCAUAUCAUAGAAAUGGCUGUAGAAACAUCAUGGCAAUUUUAAAUAUUAUUGCUAUAUAUUUUUAGUAAGUAACCACAUUUAUGUUUAUUAAUAUCCUAAAUGUUUAUGAUGAAAACAUAAUUAAUUACUCAAUUAGCAAUUAGAAAAAAAGAUACAUGUCCAUUUUUGCUUAACAGUUGUCCUAAAACCUUUUUUAAAAAGGUACAUUAUAAGACAAAUGCAAGUUGUCAUUAUUAUAUAUUAAUUUGCUUUUAGAAAAUGUGAAAAUAUUUUGCAAAUAAAAAUAUGAAUUAGUUAAAAUUAUAAAGUAUGUAAUGUCAAAUAUGCAUUUUCAUGUAUCAGAUGUUUAUAAAGAUAGUGGCUUUUAACUCUAUUUGAUUAUUAAAGGGUAAUAUCUGGGCUUAUAGUUUACAUAAAACUUCACAUUAAAAUUUAAUACUAUCAUACAGCAAUACGUAAAUUUCAAAGCACUUUCAUGUUUGAUUCUUAGGUUUUUAGUCAUUAUUCACACGUCACCACAUUAUUCCUAUUGUCAUAUCAUCUUUCCCAAUACAAUAGCAAAACCAGAAAAUAUUUUCACAAGCGUCACACUUAUUUUAUGUUAGGAAAACAUGCAUGCAUUUACUAUUUUUACUUCCUCUGUUUCACACUUAUUUUUCCUAUAAUUUUGUCUUAUCCAUCUGGCCAGCUUUCACUUAUAGGUAUUGACAUGACAAUGGUUGUUUGAUCUUUUAUUUUCCUCUUCCUUAUUGUUAAACCCUAUAAAAAUCUUUCCCAUAUAUGAUUGAGCAAAAGUCUAGUAAUCUCUCAAGCAGCAUGUUAAUGUUUUGUUUUCUUGUGACACCUUACCUGUAUCUCCCAUACUCACUCUGCCCUAAGCAAAGCUGAUUAAAUAUUUUUCAUUGUUCAAAUGCUGUACCUGGUUGAAACGUCUCUAAAGGAGCAAUGAUGCUAUACUCUAGUGGUUUGCUUAAACAUCAAAUUCCUUUAUUAUAGUGCAAGCUUCCUGCAGCAGAGAAUACAUAUGUCUUAUUCAUCGUCAAGUACCUGACAGGUUUUGGGAAUGAUAAUAAUAACAUAUAAUUACAAUGCACAUAAUAUGUCAGGCAUCACAUUAUGAAGAACACACUAUUGUUGUAAUCUUCAUUUUACAAAUAAGGAAUUGGAGGCACAAAGGCAUAGAGAGGUUAGAUAAUUUGCUCAAAAUCACAUAGCUAGUAGAACGAAGAACAAGGUUUUGUACCUGGGUUUGAGGGUAGCAGAGUUAGCACUUGUAACCUUCACAUGAAAAGAGAUGGGUCACAAUAUAAAUGCUAUCAGAUAAAAAAAUGUUCUAAAAAUAAAAAAAAGUGUUGACACACCAAACAGCAGACAGGUGCCCAGGGAGUAGAUGUGUAACAAGCACUCAUACAUCACUGGAAAACAUCACCGAAUGUAUAAUGAAGUGGAGAAAAGGGUAUUUAGUGAAGUCCCCAUGGGAUAAUAGUAGGUGUAGUUGGAAGACUGCUCUAAUAAGUCAUCUGGGCUAGAGUGAGAUCCCUGACAAAUGUGCUCCAGUAAUAAUGGAGAACUGCUAACCUGCCACGUAGAGAGAGCGUAUCAUGUUAACUGCAGAGCUUUUGCUUUGCUGAGUUUGGUGCUGGAGUAGAAUUGCUAAGAAAAUAAGGUGAAAUUAAACAUAAAUUGUCUCUUUCACAGUAAUUUUUUAUACCACAUUAUUUUUAUGUAGGGCU
rnacentral:lncRNA from 1 species